UCCUAUGAAUGCAAUCAGUGUGGUAAAGCCUUUAAAUCUCAUCGUUAUCUCCAAGUACAUAAAACAAUACAUACUGGAGAGAAGCCCUAUGUGUGUGAUCAAUGUGGCAAAGCCUUUGCACAUCAUCGUACUCUUAGAAGGCAUGAAAUAAUACAUACUGGAAGAAAAUCCUACAAAUGCAAUCAGUGUGGUAAAGCCUUUGCCCGACAGAGUCAUCUCAAAACGCAUGGAAUAACACAUACUGGAGAGAAACCUUAUGAAUGUGAUCAAUGUGGUAAAGCCUUUGCAUAUCAUAGUUAUCUCCAAGUACAUAAAAGAAUACAUACUGGAGUGAAACCUUAUGAAUGUAAGCACUGUGGUAAAGCCUUUGUAUGUCAGAAUGACCUUAAAAGGCAUGAAAGAAUUCAUACUGGAGUGAAACCUUACGAAUGUAAGCAAUGUGGUAAAGCCUUUUCACGAUCAAGCCACCUCCAACUACAUAAAAGAACACAUACAUACUAAAGAGUAACCCUAUGAAUGUAACCAAUGUAGUAAAGCCUUUACUGUGAUCUUCAAAGGUAUGGUGGUUUAAAUAUACUUGGCCCAUGGCAAGUGGCAGUGUUAGGAGGUAUGGCCUUUUUGGAGUAGAUGUGGCCUUUGAGGAAGUAUGUCACUGGGGCUUUGAGACCCCAUGCUUAAACUCUACCCAGGGCAGAAGCGUCUUCUGGCUGCCUUCUGAUCAAGAUGUAGAACUCUCUCCUCCAGCACCAUGUCUGCUUGGACACUGACAUUCCUUCCACCUUGAUAAUAGACUGAACCUCUGAAUCUGUAUACCUCCCCUCCCCCCAAUUAAAUGUCCUUUCUAAG
rnacentral:lncRNA from 1 species